rnacentral:sRNA from 1 species
CUGCAGGGCUCUUAGGGUUCCGCUGCCGGUGUGUCCGGCAGGACCGGUCCGAGAAGAGCCACCCCGCCGGCAAAUUCCGGCCGGGGCACACGGCGGGCCAAAAUCCCGGGAGAG